rnacentral:lncRNA from 1 species
UAAACCAAAGAUACUGAUCAGAAUGCAAGAGAGUGAAAUAGAGCUGUUGCUUAUGUCUAUUCUCCUACUAUUAACUCUCUUUCUCUCUUUUUCUUUGCAAUUACUUUCACUUAAUUCUAAAACAUCGCACAAAUUAAAUUAUACUUGGCCUUCUUGAUCUUCCAUUUCUUUUCUCUUCCCACUUUUCUUAUUUUUUACAUUUUUAGAGAGAGAGGGAGAGAUGCAUUGAUUAUGUACGUAUUCUUACAUAUAAUUUUAUGUACUCUUUCAUAGGAAAGGCUACUGUAAUUAGUUUAAAUUCUUAUAUAUCUUAUCAGUAAAAUGAAUGUGUUAGUGGCUGCAUGCGGUAGCUUUGUUAUGUUUCUGUUUCUUUAGAUUAUAUAUAUUCUCUAGCACUGCUAUAUGAGGAAUACGUCCAUUCUUAUACUCCAAUCCUCUCGAUCUUCUAAUUUUGUGAUAAAACUUCAAUUGUUUAUAUCACAGCAUGCAUGCACGUAUAUAUACUUAUAUCAACAAAAGCAUAAAAGCAACGAUCAUUUUCUAAGUAAGAUUUGUGUAAGAAUAACAUUUACUUUAACAUAAGAGGGUAGACACAUCUCAAUAUUCUUGCAUCAACGUCGCUAAAUCUUAAAUUAACUCAAGAAAUAUAACCAAAUCAUGAUGAGAAAAUGACGGGACCCUCUAUAGCCACUCAAAAUUUUAAUAGCCCAUGUUUUUUUAUUGGCCCAAAAUAUCCCUCCGGCCCAAACAUGUAACUUCUAAUAGCCCAAAAUGUCACUAUCCAUAAAUUGUAUAGUGACGGUCUAUUGUAUAUAAAUUAUACAAUGACAGUCUUUUUGUAUAUUUUUUGUAUAACAACAGUCUAUUUUGUAUAUUUUUUAUAUAGUGAUAGUUACUUGUAUACAUUUUGUAUAAUGACAGUCUAUUGUAUAUAAAUUGUAUAGUGAGAGGGCGCCUGCCUCCUCUUCAGAAAUGUCCUCGACAACGUAGCGGUUCUUCGGUCUUCGCUAUUAGGGGUGAGAGUGCUUGGUCGCUAGGGUUUCCUUUUCCUCAACCAAUUCGAUUGUAUCAACUCUAAGAUUGGUCUAAAAUUUUGUUAUGAGCUGGCUAGAUUGUAGAUCAGAUAGACAGUCUAUUUAGUAUAUAUUUUGUAUAGUCACCGUCUAUAUAGUAUAUAUUUUGUAUAGUAACAGUCUAUUUUUUUUUAUAUAUUUUGUAUAGUGACAGUCUAUCGUAUAUAAAUUGUACAAUGACAAC